AAUGCUGCGCCGGAAUGAACGGAUUAUAUUGAUGUUAUAAAUAAUAAGAAUUUUUUUCUUCUGCAUUA
rnacentral:tRNA from 1 species